rnacentral:lncRNA from 1 species
AAAAAAAGGAACAAAAAAAUAAAUAAAAGGACUGCAGAAGCAAAAGAAAAGGGGGAAAAAAAGGGGGUGAGGAAAGGGAGAGAGCAUACUUACUCCGUGCAAAGGCGACGAAACUGAGCCUCUUUUUUUUUUUGCCGCUGGACAGAGCGAGGCGGCCCGGCACAUGCACACCGCACGCGCACACACACACACACACGCACACACUCACUCGCACACACGCACAGACACACGCGCGCGCACACACACGCGCGCACGCACGCGCGGCCGCUGAAUAUUGACGCCGGGAUCCGCGUAAAGGUGAAGCCGGGCGGUGCCGAUAGUACAUACACAGCAGCCCCUGACAGCGCCUUGUCACUUGCGCGGCUCAGCGUCGCUUCGAGCGCUGUCGAGGAAACGCAGUCACCCAAUGAGGAGCGAAGGGAAACUGAGGCACGGGCUGUCCCGGGGGCACGCAGCCCCCCCGGCCCCACCUCGCUCUGCAGGUGCCGUCCUCCCGCCCCGCACCCCGCUCACGUCCCAGCACGGCGGUUCGUAGUGUAACCCCGCCGCUGCCUGAAUGGUGAGCGCUCGAGAUUCUACCUCCUCCCGCCCCCAGUUGGUUCACAGUGAUAAAGUUUGGAUCCAAAGGCGCGCUCAGGUGUGGGGGCUCUGCUCCUGCCCUCGCUUUGCUGCUUGGUCACAAAGUUCAGCCGUGGGGCUGUGCUCAGCUGCGAGCUUCGGCCCCUCAGAAAUAAAUCCUUCUCCAAAUUCUGGUGCCUGUGACGAGGAAAUGAGCGCUGCGAGCUGACAGCUCUCUGCAUUCACAGCUCUGUCUUCGAGGGGGAAAAAAAAGAAAAGCAGAUGUGGGAAACUUAGGAAAACUUUUGAAACGUGCCCUUGGCCGUGGGUGAUCCCCCUGUCCCUUUGGAGGAUGGCAACAGGAUUGGAAGUGACAAGGGCUCACUGCUGGAAGUGUCUUUGCUUUGAUCACUCUCCUCGCUGUGUCUGCUCACUCCGAGCGAGGGAAAGGGCUGCACUGCCGGUUUUCUUUUCUUUUUCUUUGUUUUUAAAGGGGGAUGGGAGGGGGAUAUAUUUUUAAAGGUGGGAUAUAUCCGAGUACUUCAUGUGUAAAGAACGGUCCCUGUCACAAGGGCCUGAUUCUGCUCUUAUUGACGCCGCCGCGAAUUCAUCCAGGGAGCAUCAGCAGCGCGUGUGCGGGGCAGAGGAGCGCUGGGUGCGGGUGUGCGUUGCUGCGGGGUCUGAGCCUUCCUCGGCCCCUCCUCGCAGACAAACCCUUGGAGGAGGAUGCACCAGAGGUGCCACAGCAGAGUGCACUUUAAUUCAAGAAG